rnacentral:rRNA from 1 species
AUACGGAGGAUGCGAGCGUUAUCCGGAUUUAUUGGGUUUAAAGGGAGCGUAGGCGGGAGCUUAAGUCAGCGGUUAAAUGGUGCGGCUCAACCGUGCCCUGCCGUUGAAACUGGGUUUCUUGAGAGUGCAAGAGGCGGAUGGAAUUCAUGGUGUAGCGGUGAAAUGCUUAGAUAACAUGAAGAACUCCGAUUGCGAAGGCAGUCCGCUGGGGCACGUCUGACGCUGAUGCUCGAAGGUACGGGAAUCAAACAGGAUUAGAUACCUUGUUAGUCCGCACGGUAAACGAUGAUUACCCGCUGUCGGCGGCAGACAGUCGGCGGCCAAGCGAAAGCGAUAAGUAAUCCACCUGGGGAGUACGCCGGCAACGGUGAAACUCAAAUGAAUUGACGGG